UACGGGGGGGGCAAGCGUUGUUCGGAAUUACUGGGCGUAAAGGGCUCGUAGGUGGCCAACUAAGUCAGACGUGAAAUCCCUCGGCUUAACCGAGGAACUGCGUCUGAUACUGGAUGGCUUGAGUUUGGGAGAGGGAUGCGGAAUUCCAGGUGUAGCGGUGAAAUGCGCAGAUAUCAGGAGGAACACCUAUUGCGAAGGCAGCUCGCUGGGACGUUACUGACGCUGAGACGCGAAAGCGUGGGGAGCAAACAGG
rnacentral:rRNA from 1 species